GCCUGCGCCCUCAGGGGCAACCCGACUGCCAAAUUUGCGCCCCUCCUGGGACUGUUUGAGAGAAGGACAAACUUUUGAACGGAUUAAAAAUCAAGAGGAGUCCGUCUGGGGCAGGAUUGAUGGAGAGACAACAAUUUGGCAAGGCUCCUCUAAGCCUGUAGUGGGGGGCUGUGGACUCGGCCCUGCCUUCUCAACUAGGGGGAACCGUCCCAUUCCUGGGCCCUUGCAUUUGGCCCCCAAGUUGGGGGGAAGUCGACACAGAAUGGCAUGAAGGAUGGCUGGCCUGACACAGGACAGAGCCCCAGCCUGGGGAGGGGGCAGUUUUAGGCUAAAUUUCCAUUGCAGAGAGAGGACUUAGAAACAAAGGAAAGAAGGUUGAGGAAACAGCACAAAGGACUAGAAAAUUUGAGAACCACAAAGAUAAAAGACCAGCGAGGGAAGAAAAGAUUCGAAAAAGCCCCAGCGCUGGGGACAGAGGAAGGGCCUCCGGGAGGCUGAGUGGGAGAGAAGCGAAGAUGAAAAAAUUUUGAUAAGGGACAGAACAAAGGUGCAGGAUUCGCCUGUUUUGUGAGGGGGGAAAACGACGGGAAGGGAAAGCAAAGGGGUGAAAGGAGGGAGCUAGAAAGUAAAAGAAAAGGGAAGGAAACAUGAAAGAAAAAAGUAAAAGCAACAGAAGACAGAAAGAGAAAGGGGGGAAAGGGGAGAAGAAAAGGAAGGUGAAGGAAGGGAAGAAUAUAGAGAAAAAAACAGCGAAGGUGGGGCAGAAAGAGAACAAAAGAAGGGGGGGGAAAUGAGAAAUAAAGAGAGAAAAAGAAAAGGAGAGCCGGAAACCAGCCUAACAGAAAGGGGAUCCUGAUUUGGAGGUGCACAGGGAGGGAAGGAGGAGGGAGACAGGCCGCGGUGGCCCAGCCAGGGUCUCCCAGGCGCCUGGGCGCCCUACUGGCUUCCCCUGGGGCUACCUGGGCCCUGGCCUCCCACCCCCGCUGCCCAGGACCCCAGUGGUGCCCGGAGGGAGGUGGGGGUUCAGCCGUCCCCUUGCGCCCAGCUUCUCCCAGGAGAAGCAGCUGACUGAGCUGGAAGAAGGACUUCUUCCUGCAGCCAUGCCAGCCUCAAACCCAGCACAGCGGGCCUGGAGGCGCAGCAGGUCAAGAUCUGGUUCCAAAACCAGAACGCGGAGCCGAAGAGGCGGUUUAGAGAUGGGGGGACCAGUGGCCACACAGCCCUGGCUUGUCUCCUUGCCCCCAGCCCCGAGAGCCUCCACCCUGACCUUGCUGGCAGAGGCUGGCUGCAGACUGACUGCUUUUGUUCCGCCCUGUGACCUUGGGCCUCAGUGUGAUCUUAGGUCAAAUGUGUCCUUUGUGCUGGAGGGUUCUUCUGUAAUUUUGGUUGGCCUGUCUGUAUUUGCGCGGGGGAGAGAGAGGUGAAGAUGAGGCCUGGUCCUCCCCAGCAAGGGCAUGUUCAUUGGUGAGAGGAAAAAUCCUCCUUUGCCAUCCUUCUCUCUCUCCAUGCCCCAGAAAACUUCCUGCCAGGGCACAGGGUUUCUCUACACCAGAAAGGAUUGUGUGAACUUGUAAAGAGCUCGGCAUGAGGUUGUCCAGUGCUGGAGGAACCGGAGAAGGAACCUCAGUUUGAAAGAGAAUGAGGACGUUUCCUACAGGGGCAAGUGGAGUUGAGCUUUGCAGGAUAUAGCACUGAACCACACACACAAAGACGUUAAUUGGCAAAGGGGCUUUAGACUGCGCUGCAGAGGAAUGAACUUGGGGUUAUUGUGUGUCUGUGGCGUGUAGGGCCUACACUCCCACGCCCCGUUCAUUUGCGCCGGGGACAACUGCCCAGUUUGAUUCAGAGGGUCUCUUAAAGCCAAUUAGGUAACUCCUUUGUUUCCCAGGAGUGCAGAGGGGACACUGCCAUUGGGCUCUCCUUGCUGCCUUGGCCUCUGCCCGUUUCUGCUUGCUGUUGUUUUCUGCCUCACUGAGGGGUUCGGGGCGGGGGGGAGGGGGACAGGAAAAUAAAAUGUCCCUCCCCACUCCCCUAGUCCUUCCCUGUACCCUACCCCCACCAAACCUUCUAGCUGCUGACGGUAAUGAACUCCCAGGAGUGCAGAGGGGACAGUGGCUGAGAUCAGCCAGAUCUUCCAAGGGCAGCACGAGCCUUGGGGAUGGGCUUGAGGGACCUUCACAUGGCCAGCUGGUGUCCACAGUAAGCCUUGCAGCCCCUCUCGGGCGGGGGCGGGGGGGGGGGGGCUCGGUCCAGUGCUUCUCAGCACUGCGCUUCUAGACUUCCUCCCCUUCUCUCAAGCUACUUCUUUCCUUCAUUUCCUCCUCCCCCCCUCUCUCUUGCUCCCUUCCCUCCUUCUUCUUGUUCUUUAGGUUCUCUCUUUCCUUUAUCAUCUAGCCCAGGCUGGGACUCUUGUACUGUCUUUGUGCCCCCUGCCCUGAGGCUUUGCUGUGGGAACUUCAGUCAGGCUAAUAACCUGAGGCCUGCCCUCAGGAGUUCAUGAUGUGGAUGCAGUAUUGGGACUGGGAGAUGAGGGGCAAAAUGGGGGGUAAGCUUUGCUGAUCAGGUGCGGGAUGAAUCAACUGGUUUUCUCUAUCAGUUGUGAUUAAUAGAGACCACAUCCCAGUGGCUCAUCCCAGGAAAUCUUUCCCCACCUCACCGAUCUGCUGGCCUGCCCCUGCCCACGGGGGUGGGGUUGCUGGUGUCCCCAAGGCCAUUCUCUCCCAGGGCGAGUGAGGGCCUCCAAGAGCGCCCCUUGCCUCAGUAGAUGGGGGUGCUGGGGGUGGGGGAAGAGAGGUCAGUGAUGCCAGGUCAAAGCCUCAAACUAUUAAAGAAGCAAAGCCUGUUUCCCUAUUCCCGAUGCAUUUUAGGGGUCCUCUUUCCCUUGGAUGGAGAGGCUGCUCCUCUCUUGGCUCUUGGCUAUCUCUCCGAGGAACACACCCCUUGAUUAGCCAGGCCCGCAGCCAUCCCCAUCUGCUCUGCUGAGAAGGGAGGCCACUCAUUCCAGGUCUUGGUGGAAGGGAUACAGACUGCCCAACGCAGCUUCCUUGCCUCAACUGGCCCCUCAGGGAAGGUGGGAACCUCCUUCACUUCGCAGGAUCCGGAAUCUCGGCCGGCAGAGCGGACAGCCGCGCUCUGGAGCCUGACGCCGGAAGAAGUUUCUGCCAUUGCGCUCUCCUUGCUGUCUCGGCCUCUGCCCAUGUCUGCGUGCUGUUGUGUUCUCCCUCACUGAGGGAAAUAAAAUGUCCCUCCCCACUCCCCUAGUCAUUCCUUGUACCCUACCCCCACCAAACCUUCUAGCUGCUGACGGUAAUGAACUCCAGCUUCCAGCCUUGCUCAUAAGCUACUCACAGUGAAUUCAAAUUCUCUUCUGGGCAGGAGGGAGGACAGAUGCUCCUUCCUCGGUCCUCCCUUGCUCGGUGAUCCAUUUUGAAGGCCUUUUGGGGUCAAAGUCAGACCAGAUUGCUUCAAUUGGUAUAAAAUUAGCAUCUUAAAAAAAUCACACCCAGAUUUCUAGCAUCCCAGAAUAGAAGUCUUGGAGCACCUGGCUGGCUCAUUCAAUGGAGCAUGUGAGUCUUGAUCUCAGGGUCGUGAGUUCAAACCCACAUUGGGCAUAGAAAUUA